rnacentral:rRNA from 1 species
AACGAACGCUGGCGGCAUGCCUAACACAUGCAAGUCGAACGAGACCUUCGGGUCUAGUGGCGCACGGGUGCGUAACGCGUGGGAACCUGCCCUUAGGUUCGGAAUAACUCCCCGAAAGGGGUGCUAAUACCGGAUAAUGUCUUCGGACCAAAGAUUUAUCGCCUUUGGAUGGGCCCGCGUUUGAUUAGCUAGUUGGUAGGGUAAAAGCCUACCAAGGCGACGAUCCAUAGCUGGUCUGAGAGGAUGAUCAGCCACACUGGGACUGAGACACGGCCCAGACUCCUACGGGAGGCAGCAGUGGGGAAUAUUGGACAAUGGGCGAAAGCCUGAUCCAGCAAUGCCGCGUGAGUGAUGAAGGCAUUAGGGUUGUAAAGCUCUUUUACCCGGGAUGAUAAUGACAGUACCGGGAGAAUAAGCGCCGGCUAACUCCGUG